UACGAGGGGGGCGAGCGUUGUUCGGAAUUAUUGGGCGUAAAGCGCGCGCAGGCGGUCCUUUAAGUCUGAUGUGAAAGCCCACGGCUCAACCGUGGAGGGUCAUUGGAAACUGGAGGACUUGAGUACAGAAGAGAAGAGUGGAAUUCCACGUGUAGCGGUGAAAUGCGUAGAGAUGUGGAGGAACACCAGUGGCGAAGGCGACUCUUUGGUCUGUAACUGACGCUGAGGCGCGAAAGCGUGGGGAGCAAACAGG
rnacentral:rRNA from 1 species